rnacentral:lncRNA from 1 species
UAUUUGUUGUGACUUUGAUUCCUUCCUAUAUUAAUUCGUCAAAAGGCUUACCAAAAAUGUAGUCAGACGCUGAAUAUGAUCUUCUAGACGUGAAAAGGAUAAGUUGCAGUUAGUUGUGCAUGCGAUUACGAUUGAUAUGUCGUUUGGUUUGCACCUGCCUAUGGCACCGCUUGUUUUCAUUUUUUACUUUUCUCCGAGCAGAUACCAAAGGAGUAAGGCCUCCUUUGGUUUACAUAAAUUUUUAUAGAAAUCUUUCUAUCAACGUUUCUAUAAUUACAAUUACAAUACUUUAAUAAAAGAAAAAUAUGAUUAAAAAUAAAAAAAUAUGCUAGAAAAUCUCAUAAAAAUAUCUAACGGUUAAUUUGGCAUCUCAUAAAACCACAAACAUGAGAUCUUGGAAUUAGGCAAUUACAUUGUAAUUGAAAGGUAUUAACACCCCUGUGGCACCCCGAUCCGCAUGGAGCAGGGGGCCUUCUCACGUCAGCCCAGGAUAACACCUGACGCACGACAGGUCCAUAAUACAGCAUUCCAGGUACAAUAAUAUUCAUCAAAUACAUGUGCAUCAGAGUACAUCAUUGAUGAAUACAAUUAUCUCACAUAGCCCUAAGGCUAUUAAAUGACAGCGGAAGUCUAAAAAAAGGCGGCGGAAGUCUUGGUUUGGCGGCUCAUCAACUCUGGCUGGGCUCCACAACUGACAGGACUGGCAAGGUUACGUCCUAGCACGACGGAUCAAGCGAACAAUUCGGGUAUGACCUACAAAACUGGCAUGACACGCCAGGUCAGUACAUUGAAUGUACUUGCAAGACAACCAAAUACAUAGCAUCCAAACAAGCAGAAGACAAAGCGAGAACCGAGCGCAUGCAACAGCCUAUCCCACCUCAAUUACUAAACAUGGCACGAUAAAAAUCAACUAAGCAUGAACAAUAUCAUAGCAUCUACUAACAUGACAAUGACAUGGCAUAUUAAAACAUGCUUCUACAUGGCAAUGGCAAGACAUAGCAUAUCAUCUCAAUCAUGGCAUAAUUUAACAUAUAAAUCAAAGCAUGGCAUGACAUCAUGAAACUAUGCUGAAAAUAAACUACCAAUAAUAUCCAAUGCAGAUAUAGCAUGUUAACUCCAUGUAAUCGUCUUCUGUUCUGCCUUGGUUUUUAAAUGCAACAUAUUACCCAUGCGAUGCAACCAAACUUGUGCAGCGAGUCCCUCGGACUCUCUUACCAACGGGUUGCCUCGCAACCGAACGGUGAUCUUUCCGGCGAUGACAACCACGACCAACUUGGUCUAACUCUCAUCGAGACCUUGUCUCACGGCUAUCUCAUAGUCCAAGUCACCAUAUUCUUGUUACCACAUCUUUAUUUACCAACCUAAUUAUUUCAGGUUUAUCCUCCAUUUCGACCAAGACCUAAUAGUGGGACCUACUACGAACUGUAUGCUAUCGAUAGACUUUAUAUACACUCUACAGAGGUAGCACACUGUACCCACACCACGGAACCCAUGGCCUCGUCAUCCCAUUCGGGUGGACCAACGGCAUUCCGACGAAACCGACCUACUGCCAUGACACUCUCCCGGCCACUCCGACCCACUCCCAAAUGGGCUAGUCCUGGGUGGCCCCGUGUCAACCAAAGACACAACAACCACCGUCGUGGCCAAAACGUCCCUCACGGGGACCGGUACCAAAAAUGUCAAAAACGGGCACACAAGGUUAUGUCCGCCUACCUGAUCAGGGUAAGCACGCCCAUAACCUUCCCUAGUUGGAGGCACCGACGAGAGGCACGACAAUAGAUCGCAUUAAGGCCUUCCCACAAAGGCAAAUUUGGCUGCACUGAAAAAGUUCGAUUUGGUGGCACUAUGACUCGAUCCCAUCGAUGACGGAGGAGGUUUGUUAUUAUUAAGUCAAUUUAAUUCCUUCUCCAUCAUCAUGAACAUGAAUGCAACAAUGAGCAUGUAGCAUACAAAUGCAUGAACAAAAUAUUGAACUUCUCAAGUGCACAACUAUAACAUAAAGAACAUGACAAUACCAAGUGCUAGCAUAUUAACAGGGCAUUUCAAUCAUCAUAGCAAUUUAGAACGAUGACACGAAAAUAAAGUAGAGUAGUUACAUGGCAUUAACAAAAAUAUUCUAAUUAGCAUGGCAAAAGAUAUCAUGAAAACACAAGCAUGCAUGACAGGCAUAAUGGAAUAACUUCAGACGAAAACGAUAUGAAACAACUGCAACUACACACACACAAGGUGCAAGCAAAGUCAACAUGCAAGUUCGGGGCUCAUGAUAAGAGGUUGGCUUGCCUGUGGGUCGAGGAAUACUCCGAGAAAAAGUGCGAAACGAUCGCGGAAAUAUUUGCCAGAAACAGUUCUCUCUCGGAGGGGGAUGUUUACGGGCAAGGGAAGAAUGGUCAUUUUCAGAAUGUUCAAACAUCAAGAAAAUGGUCCCAUCAAAAAGGGCUCGACGAAUAGAGAAUUUGAGCGUUGGAAUCACCUUAUUCGGAGUUACGGGUAAAAAGAUACGGACGUUUAAAGCUCAGGGACUAGUCUGUAAAAAUACUUCUACAAACAGGCCCCUGGUAGUUUAAACAGAACGUGUCUUUUCUGAAAAUACGUUUUCCAGAGAGGGAAACGUAUUCCCGGCCGAAGGAGAGGAGAAAUACGCCUUCUGAGAUUGAAAGCGUACUCUCCAGAAAUGCGCUUCCGCGCGGGGAAAGCGCCUUCAAGUGCGAGGCCGUGGCAGAAUACGCCUUUUCCAGGGGAAAGCGUACUUCACCGAAGCCGUCUCCACUUAAUCCAACGUGGUGCUCCCCGUUUCACCGAUAGGUGGGGUCACGCGGGGAUGGGCCCGCCUGGCCCUGGCGUCUUCAACCUCCCGCAUCGACGCGCGCCUGGCCGAGGGGAGGCGCCCGCCCCGACGGCGCUUGCCGGCGCGUCCGGCCACGGCAGGCGACGAGCGACCUACCCACGGGCUCAGGAGGAGGAGGCGCACCCCGGGGUAGUCUCCGUUUCCGGCGAGGAUCGCGGGAGAAGAAGCAGUAGGGCCCGCGGCGGAGAGAAGCUUCGACCACCGGAGAAUAUGGGGCUGUGGUGGGGGAACGGGAGGGCUGAGGCCACGCAAAGGUUCGCCGGAGCCUGAGGGUUGCAGAGGUGGUGGAGGAACGGCGAGGGGAGGCUCUGGUCGCCGGAAUCAGGGAAGGCCGGGGCGGCGGCCAUGGCUAAGGGGAGGGGGCCAGAGAGGGGCUCCGGGAAGAAUGAGCGCUUGGGGAGGCAUAGAAGAGGGCGGGGGAGCUGCUGAUGAGCUCGGACGAGGCGCGGACGGGCUAUUUAUAGCCGGGGCAGGGGCACCCGAGCCGGGCACCGCCGAGCGCGUCCGGCCACGGCUCUGCCGUGCUUAGCAGUCACGGGGAGGCACGGGAAGGCGACGAGCGCCAGAGAGUCACGGAGACGAGCAGCGCUCGGAGACGAACGAAGGAAGAGGACACCGGGGAGGAAGAGGACGAGCUCACGGGCACGCACUGCUCGAGCAUUGGCACGGCUCGUCGGAGAAGAAAACGAAGGGGGCCAGAGGUCCAGGGGGAAGACGACGUUGAGGGGGAGCUGUUGGGCAUUAAUGGCGAGGCCAGAGACGGUCGGAGCAGCGCUGCCGACGAGAACAGUGGCUAGACCACCGUUUUGGCUGGCUGCCCUCGUAGUCACCACUGGCAUGGCGCGCUCUGGGGUUUUUACUGAUGUAAGUUCAUGUCUACCGCGUAGUCCUUCCAGAGUGGAGUAUUACCAUGGUAAAGAAACGGGCAGAGACAAAUUGAGCUGAGUAAACCAAGCUGCACAAGUUUGCUGUUGCAAACUUGGCAACAUCCUAGAGAUAAAACCAGAGAGGUUAAAUGGUUGUCUGGGAGGCUUAGGGUAGAAAGGACUACGGUCCUGGGAGUUUUGAGGUAAUUUGGACAACUAUUUACCAUAGUUGCUGUACAACCACCAAAUCUGACCCAGAAACUGAAUCAUGAUGAAGCACUCACUAGGAGUGAUGGAUUGAGCUAAAUCUUGGCAAAUCUUGAUGAUUUGGACAUACAAUGACGCUGUAAAAAGUUCAUACCAAAUGGAGUCACCAAAAUGGUACUUUCUUCGCAACUAUCAUUUCUGUCCAAAAACUUCAGAAAAAUCCUCAGGGCAAUUGGCUAGAUGAAAUGAGCCAAAAUAUUGUGGAUAUGGAUCAUAUAGAUAGGAAAAGGCCUGUGAAAAUUAUCGGCCAUAAUGGAGCAAGAUAAAAUGCACUUGCUUCACAAACUGAAAAAUAUGACAGAAACCAAGAGUUGCUCCUGUGCUCACAUAGUUCAAUGAAAUGAACUAAAUUUGGGUGGGGGAUGAUGAUUUGAGAUAUAGGAUAGGAUGGCAAAGUUUCGUCCCAUUUUGAAACUCUAUGAAGGUACUUCCUUCACAAAGUUGCAUUCUGGUCAGAAACUUUGAAAAAUUGCACAGGGAGCUAGGAUGAAUGGAUUGAGCUCAUAUUUGGCAUCCAUGGGUUAUUUAUCAAUGUUAAACACCCUGCCGAAUUGCAGCUCAAUUGGAUUUAGGAAUAAAGCACUUCCUUUGCAAAAUUUCAGAGAAGGCAGAAACUUGCAUUGGAUCAUGUGCCAAAUUUUUGAACUGAGGAACAUGAUAUUAGGUUGGAACUAGUGAUUAUAUAGCAAGGACAAGCUCCACAAUUUAUGUGGGAAUUUUCUCUGCUAUAGAAAUAGUAGUUCCUUUGAAAAAUGGCAGAAAUGCAAUAUUGGCAUUAAAUAGGAAAAGGCAAUUUUCCUUAUUUAAUUAUGGCCAAUAUAAUUGCCAGAGCUUGAAUUAGGCGUAAGUAUCAACUCCACCAAUUCUCAUGAAUUUAGGAGAUGGCUAGCUAUGCCUUUGGAUUUUAUUCCUCAGAAAGGCAAGAAAAGGAAUAAAUCAUAAUUCAAAAAUAUUGCAUGGGGCUUAGCAAUAUUUUUGCAUAUCCAAGGUGCCGAAAGAUAGGAUGAUCUCUGGGAACAAUUGGGAGGAUAAACAGAUCAAAGAAAAUGAGAGCUCCUUUGUAUUCACAAAGGGCAUAUUCAAAUUCCAAAAAUUUGGAAUUAGGGUUUGAGAGGGUUUGAGCUGAUGCAAAUGAGGUCUUGCCCACUGAAAAAGACAUGAGCAGGGUUUUGAAAGGUUGCAAAUGACAAAAUUUCUCAGAGUCAUCCGGCAAACUCAGGAGAAAAUUUUGAAAAUGAGUGCCAGGAAGGGAAUAACAGCUCAAAAAUUGAUAACCCAAUUUUGGGGCUGUUACAACUCUUCCCCCCUUAAAAAGAAUCUCGUCCUCGAGAUUCCUAGGGUUACAGCACAAUUGAAAGAAUAACCACUCCGGGGAAAAACCUCGGGGUUAAUUUUUAACCCUUUGAUUAAAUUCAAACGAGUUGCGGGCACCGAUAAUUGGUACACCCAAAGAGAGAAGAGGCAAACCUGGUUAUAUUCACGGAUAGGGGCAUUCGAGAUCAAACUCCCGAAAAAGUGCUAGAUGCACCCAGUGAGCCCACUGGCAGCCUCCUUCUUCUACCUCCGGUUUGCUGCUUCUCCUACGCUGCUGCUUCGCGUGCGGCUUGGUGCAGCACGCAUAUAGCUCCUACGGCGAUAAGGACCCUAGAGCCAUAGUGCACGGCGUGCACGGCGCAAGUGCAGCGAGCACUCACGUCGCGGGCCAGCACCUUGUCGGCACUGCUCGCGGAUUCGCCUCCUGGACGCCGGUGAUCGAGCGACGAGCGGUUCUCCUGGACCUCGCUCACCGUACACCGGGGUUGGGCUAUAAAAACGGCAGCGUGGCUCUCCUCCAACGCCCAAGCACAAUGCCGCUCUACUACCUCUUCGGUUUGGGUGAGAUCGAGCCGAGCUCCUUCGGCGAGGAGGUGUUCCUGGUGGCGCUACGGUUGUUCCUCGCGGCGCUGCUGGGCACACUGAUCGGCUCGUCACUCCUCCUGCUGAUUCUCAUCAAGAAUGAUCGAGCUCGGAACAACGCGCGGUUGGGUGCGGUGGCUCGAGACGCGGGAGAAGAUGGCGCACUGGGUGGUCCUCCACCAUGCUUGAUUUUUUGUCGCUUUGCGCCGGCGGAGUAAUCGCGUGCUGUGGUGGAGCGGUGGUGGCGAUCUACCUGCGCCACGCAAGGCAGAGCCGAUGGUGGUGGUGGGGUCCAGAUGCAGGUGAGGUGGCUGCGCCAGCUCAAGAAUCACACGGAGUACGGAAAAAUUUCACAGAUAGUUCCACGAAAUGUAGGUGUCGAGGUAGAAUCAAGGGUGAAAUCUGUAUCGAAGUAGAUGUACUGGAUCGAGGAAAUAAAGUUGGCAAUGUUCCUCCGGAAAUGAAAUCGGGGAAAAGAAUUAGAGACGAGGAAUUUCCAGACGGAAAUGCCUCUACGAGGUUCUAAAUUUGAAAAUCCGGCACACGGGGUAUGCACAGAUAGAGAGGGAUAUGUGACUUUGCAUUUCCCCGAGUACUGCCCGAAUGUACUCGUGAGUGAACCGGGUAUGCGUGCAGUAUGCAGUAAAAUCUAAACUAGCAAAUAGACAGAGGCAAUAGUCAUGCAACGGAGAAACACACCAGACAAAUCAUACUAAAGUGUUUUAAUGCUAGUGGGUAUAUGUACUCCUGGUAUACAUAUACCUACACCAGCGCGCAUUUUAUUAAAGACUCGGUACGAGUCAAUGUUAUUUAGUGUAUGUGAUCUACUAAUUAAAAUCUUGUUAGCAACAUGGUGUCAACCCUGUCAAACAUUUCUGCUUGAUAGGGAGACAAGCAAAAACAAUACAAAAACAAAAGCACAAAAGCAUACAUGGAACACAACAUACGGAUGACAACCGUACCAGCAUACAACAAAGCACGAACGCGCUGCGCGCUAAACGAAACAACUCAUUCCGGGAUACAUAGUUCUAUCCUCAUAUCGAGGAUGAACCGACAGACUGAUCAUCUUACUACGUGACUGAGGUCAUGCAGAGGACUUGUCUUGCUGGGGCUCUCCGGGAGGACGAAGACUGAGCCAAUCUCCAUCUUCAUCGUCUGACAACACUAUGGGUUGGGGUUCGGCUGCUGGGGGUGUGGCUGAAAUUAAUCCGAGCAAAUGCUGCUGGUGGAUCCGUAAAAGAGCCUUGUCGAGGGUGAUGAUGUUGGGUCUAGGCCACAACACAGGCUGAGAGGAUAGCACUGGUUUGGAUGGCAUUGGGCAAAUGACUUGAGAUGCGAAUUUACGAGCCUCACGGUAAGCUUCCUUGACGACUCGCACCGCAUCGUUGUCCAGAGUUCUAAACUCGGCAAGCAUCUGGGAAAUCAUCAUCCCCUGGGCGGUGAUAUACUGCACCAGGCAAGCGAUUGCGGGGUCAUCUCCUUGGAUAGCGGGAGAAGGCUGCAUUCCCACUUCUGUCACAAUGGGGUAAAAGCAGAAAUCCCGCCUCGCUGCCAUAUGCGGGUAUCUGGUUCGGAGGUGAAGCAUAGCCUCCACAGCAGCGGCCUGAAUGGCUAAAUCAGAGGUAGGCAUAGCUCUACCCUAAAAAACCAACGGCUGGCCAUCUGCUGCUAGGCUGAUGCACACUCUUGCAUCAAAGCGAUGAAGGUGAGGGACAGGUGACGAUUGGAACACUAGGUAAUCGAGGCUAGCCUUACAGCCAAAGGCUUUGGUGAGCAUCUCAACAAGAAGGGGUGGAAAGCCAAUGUGGUUGACGGCACCGGUGCGGCUGUGAAACUUGGGAGCUUUGAAGGUGCCAGUCAUGGCUGGAGUGCUACUAGCUAGGCUUCUCUGCAGGGACAUGGUUGACUGAGGGGUGAGCGAUAUGGCGAGCGGAAAGGAGGUAUUUAUAGGCAGCUAUGCGGGACAUGCCCGCAUGGUGUGGCCCCUUUCCCUUAAUGGCGAAUGGCAAGUGGUGUGGCCGACCAGAAAGGAUAUGGUUGCUAUUCGUUCCACGGAUAACUAGGCGGGGACAGCGGGGUGAGGACGUGUAAGUCCCGACUGCGCCACCUGUUGAUUAACAGUGGCCAUGCCGGAUGCAGGGAUUGGUCAAAUCCCUUAGGGCCAUUACUGGUUAAUGGUAGCGGUGAUCUAAUACUAGGAUAACCUAAGCCAGCCUGGCUGCUCCGAUACCAUGUCCUGUGGCACCCCGAUCCGCAUGGAGCAGGGGGCCUUCGCACGUCAGCCCAGGAUAACACCUGACGCACGACAGGUCCAUAAUACAGCAUUCCAGGUACAAUAAUAUUCAUCAAAUACAUGUGCAUCAGAGUACAUCAUUGAUGAAUACAAUUAUCUGACAUAGCCCUAAGGCUAUUAAAUGACAACGGAAGUCUAAAAAAAGGCGGCCGAAGUCUUGGUUUGGCGGCUCAUCAACUCUGGCUGGGCUCCACAACUCACAGGACCGGCAAGGUUAUGUCCUAGCACGACGGAUCAAGCGAACAAUUCGGGUACGACCUACAAAACUGGCAUGACACGCCAGGUCAGUACAUUGAAUGUACUUGCAAGACAACCAAAUACAUAGCAUCCAAACAAGCAGAAGACAAAGCGAGAACCGAGCGCAUGCAACAGCCUAUCCCACCUCAAUUACUAAACAUGGCACGAUAAAAAUCAACUAAGCAUGAACAAUAUCAUAGCAUCCACUAACAUGACAAUGACAUGGCAUAUUAAAACAUGCUUCUACAUGGCAAUGGCAAGACAUAGCAUAUCAUCUCAAUCAUGGCAUAAUUUAACAUAUAAAUCAAAGCAUGGCAUGGCAUCAUGAAACUAUGCUGAAAAUAAACUACCAAUAAUAUCCAAUGUAGACAUAGCAUGUUAACUCCAUGUAAUUGUCUUCUGUUCUGCCUUGGUUUUUAAAUGCAACAUAUUACCCAUGCGAUGCAACCAAACUUGUGCACCAAGUCCCUCGGACUCUCUUACCAACAGGUUGCCUCGCAACCGAAGGUGAUCUUUCCGGCGAUCACAACUACGACCACACUUGGUCUAACUCUCAUCGAGACCUUGUCUCACGGCUAUCUCAUAGUCCAAGUCACCAUAUUCUUGUUACCACAUCUUUAUUUACCAACCUAAUUAUUUCAGGUUUAUCCUCCAUUUCGACCAAGACCUGAUAGUGGGACCUACUACGAACUGUAUGCUAUCGAUAGACUUUAUAUACACUCUGCAGAGGUAGCACGCUGUACCCACAGCACAGAAC